rnacentral:rRNA from 1 species
UUGUGCUAAGGUAGCAUAAUCAUUUGUCUUUUAAUUGAAGACUAGAACAAAAGAUUGAACAUUUUAAUUAAUAUAUAAACUUUAAAUUUUAAAUUUAUUUUAAAAGUAAAAAAACUUUUAUGUUUAAGGAAGACGACAAGACCCUAUUAAACUUAACUUUAGUUAAACUGGGGCAGUUAAUUAAUUAUUAUUUUAAUUUAAAUAAAAAUAUAAAUGAUCCAACAAAAUUGAUUAAAUGAUCCAGUUACUAUAGGGAUAACAGCGUAAUAUUUAUUUAAAGAUCUUAUUUAAAUAAAAGAUUACGACCUCGAUGUUGAUUUAAUAACCUAAAUUGUUGCAAUAAACAAAAUAAGG